CAAGCUGCUUCUGGGUUCUUGUCAUGUGUCUGACUACUUUUGGAGACAGGGGCUCAAUGGACUGUCAAUGUGACCCCAUGUUGCUGUUUUUAUAUUCUACCAGAGCAUGUUUGUCCCCCACAAGCCGUCUGUGGAUCUCUGCUGCCCUGUGGACCUCCAUGGGCUGCAGGGCCACAGUGGCCUCACCAUGGUCUGCACCAAGGGCUACAGAGGAAUCUCAGCUCUGGCACCUGGAGCACCUCCUGCCUCUCCUUCUGCACUGACCUUGGUGUCUUCAGGGCUGUUCCUCUCAUGUGUUCUUACUCCUCUCUUCUCUAGCUGCAAUAACUUCUAUGCAAUAACUUUUGUUUCCUUCUUCUUCAAUACAUUAUCCCAGAGGUGCUGCCACCAUCACUGGCAUGGAUCAGCCUUGCCAGAAGUGGGUCUGUCUUGGAGCCUGCUGGCAUUGGCUCUGUCAGGCAUGGAAAAGCUUCUGGCAGCUUCUCACAGAGGCCAACCCUGUACUCCUGUACCUCCUGCUACCCCUGUGUUACCAAAACCUUGCCAUGUAAACCAAAUACAGCAUUUCAAAGGAAAGGAUAAUUUGAAGAUUUACAUUUUUAGUGCUGAAUGGAAACCACAUGAAGAAGACAGAUAGAAAUUCGUUCAUGCAAAUCUGCAAUGCUGUUUUUGCUGAGUUUUCCUCCCUCCUGCUUUCAUGUCCACCCAGAACUGUAAAACUUACCAGAUGCUGCUGCUGAGGGUUGGUUGAUGAGGAUGCUUGUCAAUGGCCCGAGGUAGCGUAGAAGUACAAGGUCAAGGAGAUUAUUUUUUGAAUGAGCAACAUUUGAAA